UAGGUGGCCACUACUUAACCCCGAGAGACGGCUGUUGGAGCCACUCGUCGCGAGGGCGAUCCCGGAUGAGCCCCCAAAUGUUAGGUCCGAAAAGCCCACCGCGUGAAGAAAGGUUCCAAGAGACGUCCUCUCAUGCAAAACAAGGGGAUUUUAUUU